GAUGAACGCUGGCGGCGUGCCUAAUACAUGCAAGUCGAGCGAACGGACGAGAAGCUUGCUUCUCUGAUGUUAGCGGCGGACGGGUGAGUAACACGUGGAUAACCUACCUAUAAGACUGGGAUAACUUCGGGAAACCGGAGCUAAUACCGGAUAAUAUUUUGAACCGCAUGGUUCAAAAGUGAAAGACGGUCUUGCUGUCACUUAUAGAUGGAUCCGCGCUGCAUUAGCUAGUUGGUAAGGUAACGGCUUACCAAGGCAACGAUGCAUAGCCGACCUGAGAGGGUGAUCGGCCACACUGGAACUGAGACACGGUCCAGACUCCUACGGGAGGCAGCAGUAGGGAAUCUGCCGCAAUGGGCGAAAGCCUGACGGAGCAACGCCGCGUGAGUGAUGAAGGUCUUCGGAUCGUAAAACGCUGUUAUUAGGGAAGAACAUAUGUGUAAGUAACUGUGCACAUCUUGACGGUACCUAAGCAGAAAGCCACGGCUAACUACGU
rnacentral:rRNA from 1 species